rnacentral:rRNA from 1 species
CUAAGCGGAGGAGAAGAAACUAACCAGGAUUUCCCUAGUAACGGCGAGCGAACCGGAAAGAGCCCAGCUUGAAAAUCGCGUGGUUCCGCCCCGCGAAUUGUAGUCUGGAGAAGCGUCCUCUGCAACGGACCGGACCCAAGUUCCCUGGAACGGGACGUCAGAGAGGGUGAGAACCCCGUCGAGUUCGGACCCUGUUGCUCCACGAGGCGCUGUCUAAGAGUCGGGCUGUUUGGGAAUGCAGCCCUAAUUUGGAGGUAAAUUCCUUCUAAGGCUAAAUACAGGCAAGAGACCGAUAGCGAACAAGUACCGCGAGGGAAAGAUGAAAAGGACUUUGAAAAGAGAGUUAAAAAGUGCUUGAAAUUGCUGGGAGGGAAGCGAAUGGAAGCUGCGGGUGCGCCUCGGUUGGAUGCGGAACGGGGAAACCUGGUCCGCCGCUCAACGCGGGGCGCUGGUCAGCGUGGGCCAUCGCGGCGGGACAAGAGCCGGCUUUGUUGCCGGCCUAUGCCGUUGUGGUGGCCGAGGGACGAAGCGCGCGCCACUUGUGGCGGGCCUUAGGGCACCUGCGCGCUCGGGACGCUGGCGUAUUGAGCUCUCCAUCCGACCCGUCUUGAAACACGGACCAAGGAGUCUAACAUGUAUGCGAGCCGGUGGGCGGCAAACCCAUUGAGGCGCAAGGAACCUGACAGGUGGGAUCCCCUCGGGGAGCACCAUCGACCGACCGUGAUCUUCUGUGAAAGGUUUGAGUGUGAGCAUACCUGCUGGGACCCGAAAGAUGGUGAACUAUGCCUGAGCAGGGCGAAGCCAGAGGAAACUCUGGUGGAGGCUCGUAGCGAUACUGACGUGCAAAUCGUUCGUCAGACUUGGGUAUAGGGGCGAAAGACUAAUCGAACCAUCUAGUAGCUGGUUCCCUCCGAAGUUUCCCUCAGGAUAGCUGGAGCUCAUGAAGUUUUAUCAGGUAAAGCGAAUGAUUAGAGGCAUCGGGGGUGUAACACCCUCGACCUAUUCUCAAACUUUAAAUAGGUAAGCCGCCAGGGUUGCUUGGUUGAACCCUGGCACAGAAUGAGAGCUCCAAGUGGGCCA